GAUGAAGAACGUAGCGAAAUGCGAUAAGUAGUGUGAAUUGCAGAAUUCAGUGAAUCAUCGAAUCUUUGAACGCACAUUGCGCCCAUUAGUAUUCUAGUGGGCAUGCCUGUUCGAGCGUCAUUAAGUCCACUUAAGCCCUGCUUAGUGUUGGGAGACUGCUCCAGCGGUGCUACCCUGUAGCUACCCUGCAGCUCCUCAAAGACAGCGGCGGAGUUGUGGUAUCCUCUGAGCUUAGUAACUUGUUCUAGCUUUCGAGUACACCACUUCCCCUGCCGUAAAACCCUUAAUUUUUAAUGGUUGACCUCGGAUCAGGUAGGAAUACCCGCUGAACUUAAGCAUAUCAAUAAGCGGAGGA
rnacentral:misc_RNA from 1 species